rnacentral:rRNA from 1 species
GACGUAGGGCGCGAGCGUUGUCCGGAUUUAUUGGGCGUAAAGAGCUCGUAGGCGGCUUGUCGCGUCGACUGUGAAAACCCGCAGCUCAACUGUGGGCUUGCAGCCGAUACGGGCAGGCUAGAGUUCGGUAGGGGAGACUGGAAUUCCUGGUGUAGCGGUGAAAUGCGCAGAUAUCAGGAGGAACACCAGUGGCGAAGGCGGCUUCCUGGACCGGUUCUGACACUGAGGAGCGAAAGCGUGGGGAGCGAGUCCGG